UAUCGGAACAUAUCCCGUAAUGGGGGAUAACGCAGCGAAAGCUGUGCUAAUACCGCAUACGAUCUACGGAUGAAAGCAGGGGACCGCAAGGCCUUGCGUUAUGGGAGUGGCCGAUAUCGGAUUAGCUAGUUGGCGGGGUAAAGCCCACCAAGGCGACGAUCCGUAGCUGGUCUGAGAGGAUGAUCAGCCACACUGGGACUGAGACACGGCCCAG
rnacentral:rRNA from 1 species